rnacentral:rRNA from 1 species
CAGUAGCCACGGGAAUACGUAGGUGGCAAGCGUUGUCCGGAAUUAUUGGGCGUAAAGGGCUCGCAGGCGGUUUCUUAAGUCUGAUGUGAAAGCCCCCGGCUCAACCGGGGAGGGUCAUUGGAAACUGGGAAACUUGAGUGCAGAAGAGGAGAGUGGAAUUCCACGUGUAGCGGUGAAAUGCGUAGAGAUGUGGAGGAACACCAGUGGCGAAGGCGACUCUCUGGUCUGUAACUGACGCUGAGGAGCGAAAGCGUGGGGAGCGAACAGGAUUAGAUACCCGGGUAGUCCCUGUCUCUUAUAA